CGCGUAAGAAUCUACCUUUAGGAAAGGAUAACAACUGGAAACGGUUGCUAAUACUUUAUAUGCUGAGAAGUUAAAUAGGUUACUGCCUAAAGAUGAGCUUGCGUCUGAUUAGCUAGUUGGUAAGGUAAAGCUUACCAAGGCAAUUAUCAGUAGUUGGUCUGAGAGGAUGAUCAGCCACACUGGGACUGAGACACGGCCCAGACUCCUACGGGAGGCAGCAGUGAGGAAUCUUCCACAAUGGACGAAAGUCUGAUGGAGCGACACCGCGUGAAGGAUGAAGGCCUAACGGUUGUAAACUUC
rnacentral:rRNA from 1 species